rnacentral:rRNA from 1 species
GACGAACUGUCCUAACGUUGUUCGGAAUCACUGGGCUUAAAGGGCGCGUAGGCGGUCCGACAAGUCAGGGGUGAAAUCCUGCAGCUUAACUGCAGAAGUGCCUUUGAUACUGUCGGUCUGGAGGGAGAUAGGGGUGUGCGGAACUUCCAGUGGAGCGGUGAAAUGCGUUGAUAUUGGAAGGAACGCCGGAGGCGAAAGCGGCGCACUGGAUCUCUUCUGACGCUGAGGCGCGAAAGCUAGGGGAGCAAACGGG